CAGUCGUACGAAUGGAUUUUGGCUUGCCAAAAUUUAAUGAGUGGCGGACGGGUGAGUAACACGUAAGAACCUACCUUUUGGAGAGGGACAACCACUGGAAACGGUGGCUAAUACCCCAUAUUGCUGAGAAGUGAAAUGAUGAAUAAUCGCCAAGAGAUGGGCUUGCGGCUGAUUAGCUUGUUGGUGAGGUAAUGGCUUACCAAGGCGAUGAUCAGUAGCUGGUCUGAGAGGAUGAUCAGCCACACUGGGACUGAGACACGGCCCAGACUCCUACGGGAGGCAGCAGUGAGGAAUUUUCCGCAAUGGGCGAAAGCCUGACGGAGCAAUGCCGCGUGAAGGAUGAAGGCCUAUGGGUUGUAAACUUCUUUUCUCAGAGAAGAAAUUUUGACGGUAUCUGAGGAAUAAGCAUCGGCUAACUCUGUGCCAGCAGCCGCGGUAAGACAGAGGAUGCAAGCGUUAUCCGGAAUGAUUGGGCGUAAAGCGUCUGUAGGUGGCUUGAAAAGUCUCCUGUCAAAGAUCAGGGCUUAACCCUGGGCCGGCAGGAGAAACUCUCAGGCUAGAGUUUGGUAGGGGCAGAGGGAAUUCCCGGUGGAGCGGUGAAAUGCGUAGAGAUCGGGAGGAACACCAAAGGCGAAAGCACUCUGCUGGGCCAUUACUGACACUGAGAGACGAAAGCGAGGGGAGCAAAUGGGAUUAGAUACCCCAGUAGUCCUCGCCGUAAACGAUGGAUACUAGGUGUUGGAUGGGUUCAAAUCAUUCAGUACCGUAGCUAACGCGUGAAGUAUCCCGCCUGGGGAGUAUGCUCGCAAGAGUGAAACUCAAAGGAAUUGACUGGGGCCCGCACAAGCGGUGGAGCAUGUGGUUUUAUUUCGAUGCAACGCUAGAACCUUUACCAGGACCUUGACAUGCCACUUUUUCCUUGAAAGGGGAAGUUUC
rnacentral:rRNA from 1 species